rnacentral:piRNA from 1 species
CAAGGUAGCUGGACACCGUC